rnacentral:lncRNA from 1 species
GUGCCUUAUAACAUGUCUUUAUAACUGGCUGUGUAAGAAUGAAGAAAAGCUGUCCAUCUUCUGAGAAGGAAGCAGCAUGUGCCAUCCUUCUGUCAGAAAACACCAAAGAGAUGAAGAAAUGAGAAAUCCAGAAACCAAAGACCUUGCUCUUUUGUCAAACAGACUUGGUAGAGCAGAGUUGCAAAAUCAGACCUUUGGGGGCUUGCGUGUUUCUCCUCUUACUCCCUGGUACCUCAGGACGAGGACAUGCAGAAAAAGUGCUGAGUGUUCUUUAAAGCAGUAGCAAACCAUGGGUUUGGCUGGUGAUUUCCUGCUUGGUCGUCUUUUAAAACCCAGCCAUCUGAAUCCGAGAGUUGCUUCUUCAGCAAGGCCUCCCCUGACUCCUUCAGAUGUCUAAGCACCACCCCUACUCUUCUGCUGCAGCAUCUCCACUUGCUUUUGUCCUUCAUCUCCCUGAAAUUAUUUGCUUACUCAUCCAUCCAUGUCAGUUGCAAAAGCAUGACUUCCUCUAGUCCAAAGGCCAUUCAUGUUCAAUAUGUUAGCACUCGGAGCGUCUCCAGUGGUUGUUUCAAACAAGGCAAAUGAGUUCAGUUGAACUUUAUAUGUUCUGCCCUCCGACUGUGACUGUUAUUUACUUCCCUCCAAACAAAAUGUAAUAAUAAAAUGACUAACU